AGUGAACGCUGGCGGUAGGCCUAACACAUGCAAGUCGAACGGCAGCACAGUAAGAGCUUGCUCUUACGGGUGGCGAGUGGCGGACGGGUGAGGAAUACAUCGGAAUCUACUUUUUCGUGGGGGAUAACGUAGGGAAACUUACGCUAAUACCGCAUAUGACCUACGGGUGAAAGCAGGGGAUCUUCGCACCUUGCGCGAUUGAAUGAGCCGAUGUCGGAUUAGCUAGUUGGCAGGGUAAAGGCCCACCAAGGCGACGAUCCGUAGCUGGUCUGAGAGGAUGAUCAGCCACACUGGAACUGAGACACGGUCCAGACUCCUACGGGAGGCAGCAGUGGGGAAUAUUGGACAAUGGGCGCAAGCCUGAUCCAGCCAUACCGCGUGGGUGAAGAAGGCCUUCGGGUUGUAAAGCCCUUUUGUUGGGAAAGAAAAGCAGCAGGUUAAUACCCCGCUGUUCCGACGGUACCCAAAGAAUAAGCACCGGCUAACUUCGUG
rnacentral:rRNA from 1 species